GGCGCGUAGCUCAGUUGGCAGAGCAUUGGGCUAGCAUUCCAAAGGUCGUAGGUUCGAAUCCCACCGUGGCCA
rnacentral:tRNA from 1 species